rnacentral:rRNA from 1 species
GACGAACGCUGGCGGCGUGCUUAACACAUGCAAGUCGAACGGUGAAGGGACUGGUUUUGCUGGUCCUGGAUGAGUGGCGAACGGGUGAGUAACACGUGAGUAACCUGCCCCCUUCUUCUGGAUAACCGCAUGAAAGUGUGGCUAAUACGGGAUAUUCUGGGUCUGUCGCAUGGUGGGCCUGGGAAAGAUUGCGCCUUUUUUGGUGUUUUUGGUGGGGGAUGGGCUCGCGGCCUAUCAGCUUGUUGGUGGGGUGAUGGCCUACCAAGGCGGUGACGGGUAGCCGGCCUGAGAGGGUGGACGGUCACACUGGGACUGAGACACGGCCCAGACUCCUACGGGAGGCAGCAGUGGGGAAUAUUGCACAAUGGGCGCAAGCCUGAUGCAGCGACGCCGCGUGAGGGAUGGAGGCCUUCGGGUUGUGAACCUCUUUCGCCAGUGAAGCAGGCCUGCCUCUUUUUGUGGGUGGGUUGACGGUAGCUGGAUAAGAAGCGCCGGCUAUCUACGUG